rnacentral:rRNA from 1 species
CAGUCGCCGCGGGAAUACGUAGGUGGCAAGCGUUGUCCGGAAUUACUGGGCGUAAAGGGCUCGCAGGCGGUUUCUUAAGUCUGAUGUGAAAGCCCCCGGCUCAACCGGGGAGGGUCAUUGGAAACUGGGAAACUUGAGUGCAGAAGAGGAGAGUGGAAUUCCACGUGUAGCGGUGAAAUGCGUAGAGAUGUGGAGGAACACCAGCGGCGAAGGCGACUCUCUGGUCUGUAACUGACGCUGAGGAGCGAAAGCGUGGGGAGCGAACAGGAUUAGAGACCCCUGUAGUCCCUGUCUCUUAUAC